rnacentral:lncRNA from 10 species
ACAAAACAAAACAAAACAAAACAAACCUUCCUCUUCAGGAGAAAGACAACAGAAGCCAACAGAAAGCUUCUUCCUAAAGAACUGUCUAUGAAUAUCUUAGAGCUCUACAAAUAUGGGAGCCGGGUGAUGCUAACGAGGAAACAAAGGGACUGCGCUCUGCUUCACGUGGGAUCCGUCUGAUGAAAAGAAAAUGCUGAGAGAACUGGGAUUCCCAAAGAAGAUGCUGCAGAAGAUAUUUUCCACAUUAAAGAACAUUUGAUCUGUUCCACCAGUAGAUGAACCAUUAGCAGAAGCAAUCAUUAUCAGAGCCAGUAAAAGGAAAUAAAGAAAUGAGGCUUGGUUUUUAAAGUGACCACACUGCUUCUAAGUCAAGGUGAAAGUGCUGACAGUGAAUUUAUCAGAAUUCCAGGUGGAAUCCUCCAGAGUCACCUUUCAAUCAUAACUGUCAUCCUCAGAGAAAAAGCUUUUGUUGAAGAAAAAUUUGUACAAACAUUGAAUAAUCACAUUGAUAUGGUAACAAUUUAACAAUACAUUCAAUAAGAAUGAAUGUUACAGUGGGUCACUUUUUCCCUGCUUUUUAUCAAACCUUUGUAUUUUCCCCAGAUUUUACAAGUAAUAAAUCCUCAUUGUAGAACAUUUGAGAAAGAUAUAAAUAAGAAAAUAAAAGCAGUGCAUAAGACUUUCUCUGAGCAAUGGCCACUAUUAAUAUGCUGAUUCAUUUCAUAAAUGUAUAUAUUUAUAAUCACACACUCAUUUGUGCUUUAGUUAUAUAGUUGAAAUUAUAUUGAAUGUAAUGUCCUUUCUUGCUUUUUCAUUUUUUCCCUUGCAUUUUAUUUAACAUAAAGGUAUAGGUAUA